GAUUAACGCUAGCGGCAGGCAUAAUACAUGCAGGUUGAACGGCAGCACAGGUAGCAAUACUGGGUGGCGAGUGGCGCACGGGUGCGUAACACGUAUGCAACCUACCCUAUACAGGCGAAUAACCUUUAGAAAUGAGGGCUAAUACGCCGUAGUAUUACAGAUGGGCAUCUAUUUGUAAUUAAAGAUUUAUCGGUAUAGGAUGGGCAUGCGUCCCAUUAGUUAGUUGGUAAGGUAACGGCUUACCAAGACGAUGAUGGGUAGGGGAUCUGAGAGGACUUACCCCCACACUUGUACUGAGACACGGACCAGACUCCUACGGGAGGCAGCAGUAAGGAAUAUUGGGCAAUGGCCGCGAGGCUGACCCAGCCAUGCCGCGUGCAGGAAGACGGCCUUAUGGGUUGUAAACUGCUUUUAUACGGGAAUAAUAGAGUGUACGCGUACAUUUAUGCAAGUAUCGUAUGAAUAAGCAUCGGCUAACUCCGUG
rnacentral:rRNA from 1 species